AUAAGUUAGUAUAUCGCAUGAUAUGACAAAUGAAAGCUACGGCACUAAAGGAGAGCUUUGCGUCCUAUUAGCUAGUUGGUAAGGUAAGAGCUUACCAAGGCGAUGAUAGGUAGCCGGCCUGAGAGGGUGGACGGCCACAAGGGGACUGAGAUACGGCCCUUACUCCUACGGGGAGGCAGCAGUGGGGAAUAUUGGACAAUGGAGGGAACUCUGAUCCAGCAAUUCUGUGUGUGUGAAGAAGGUUUUAGGACUGUAAAACACUUUAGUAGGGAAGAAAAAAUGACGGUACCUACAGAAGAAGCAACGGCUAAAUACGUGCCAGCAGCCGCGGGUAAU
rnacentral:rRNA from 1 species